CCGUAAAAGAAAAAGAUUUUGAAAAAUUAAUUCUUGAAAACGAGAAAUUGAAAGAGGAAAACCACUUUUACGGCAAAAGAAGUGCCGAUAAACCGGAAAGCUCAAACAAAAGUUGUUCUUCUUGAAAAUCCUUAAAAGAAGAGGUAGAUAGACUUAAAAGCACUUUGCACAAGUUCAAUUCUUCACACAAAAACCUCAAUGAUGUGCUUGUCAACUUGAAAUCCACUAAGCACGGCAUAGGCUUUAAAAAUGAAGAAAAAGUUGAGUCCAUUCAUAAAUCGCCUNNNNNNN
rnacentral:lncRNA from 1 species